rfam:Camelus ferus unplaced genomic scaffold scaffold1890, whole genome shotgun sequence.
GGUUGUAGCUCAGGAGUAGAGCGCGUGCCUGGUGUGCACAAGGUCUUGGGUUCGAUCCCCAGUGCCUCCG